CUCAGUGCUAGGCUGUGUGUGGGGAAUAGCACUUCGUCAGCCCGCUGGGGAAAGUCUCAAGAGGUCACAGCCAAGAUGCCUAAAGUCAAAGCUGCAGCUGCGGGACUGAAGACCGACGCCAGGAUGGUGGCCUUCGCGGAGAAGGUGUUUGCGUCGGUAGUUGGAGAUGAGGAAACCCGGGAGGAGAUCUCCAUCUUCGACGUGUCUGAGGACUGUCCCAUCAUCCAUCACACAGGGGGCAGCCUACUGCUGCUGGAGACCAAGGAGAGCAACGAGAAGAGGAAGAAGCAUGUGUACCAGGCCCAAACCAUGGCAGUUGCCAUGAGUGAGAAGCACCCAACUACCGGCCCCACCUACCAGGAUGUGCCGACGUUCCAGCGCGUUGCCAUCCUCGGAGACUACGCCUCAGGGAUGGCUGUGGAGGACUUAGAGCUGGUGUGUAAAGGACUGUACCGUGCGCUGACUAUCCGUGAGAAGUACAUGAGACUGUCCUAUCAGCGCUUCCCCUCCACAGCCUCCAAAUACCUGCGUGCCGUCGAGGGGGAGACCUGGAAGAGUGAGGACCAGGUGCAGCCAGUGUUCACCUCUCCACCGAAACCAGGCGAGAACCCUCUUUCGCUCGAUGGUCUGCCUGAGAACCUUGGAUACCACGCCUCCAUGAAGGACGGCGUGAUCUACGUCUACCCCAGCAAGGAAGCAGCAGACAAGAACCAGCCUAAAGACCUGUCCUACCCCGACUACGAGACCUUCAUCGACGACAUGAACUUCCUCAUCGCUCUCAUCGCACAGGGACCCACAAAGGAGGUCGCCUUGAGGCAUGGAAACUGAUGUGUUCUCUGACCGCUCCAAGGGGAAGGGUGGUCCCUCCGGUCCAGGGCAGGCUUGAGUAAGACCUACAGCCACCACCGGCUGAAGUUUCUGGAUUCAUUAGUAAUUCAUUCAAUUACUGACUGACUGAACCAGCAGCCUAGAAGCGAUCCCCAUGUGCACACGCAGUUAGGAUCAGUAUGGAUUCAAAUAAAGCGACUCGUCAAACAAA